AUAGACAAGGUAGAGGCAAGUGUGUGGAAUUCUCUACAAGCAAGGAAGAACGACACAAGCUAAAAGAUGUCUUCUCGAAAAGUAAAAGGAGGUGGAAGGGGUAGAUAUUCUGGACCAGGAAAAGUAUAUAUCAUGAAAUAUGGACCGCUUUUUAAGGUAGGAUAUUCAACAGAACCAGUUAAAAGACUGAGGCAAAUUAGACGAGACAACGGCCAAAGAGUUAAACUGGGAAAAACUAUUACAGCCACGGAUAUGAGGGAUGCAGAAUCCGCUGCUCAUGAGGCAUUGAAGAGAAAACGAGUGAAAAGUAUUAAGGCGGGUGCAGACUGGUUUAAGAAACCGAAAAAAAAAACAUCCUGGAAGAAGAUAUUCAAAACAUGUCAGGGUGCUGUUUAUAGGGAUAAUCAGUACCAGAAACAGGCUUAGGAAAUGUGAG